rnacentral:rRNA from 1 species
GAUGAACGCUAGCGGCAGGCCUAACACAUGCAAGUCGAGGGGUAGCAGGAUUAAGCUUGCUUAAUUGCUGACGACCGGCGCACGGGUGCGUAACGCGUAUGCAACCUACCUUAUACUGGGGUAUAGCCCGGAGAAAUUCGGAUUAAUCCCCCAUAGUACUAAUGAAUCGCAUGGUUUAUUAGUUAAAGCAUUGCGGUAUAAGAUGGGCAUGCGUCCUAUUAGCUAGAUGGUGAGGUAACGGCUCACCAUGGCUACGAUAGGUAGGGGGCCUGAGAGGGUGGUCCCCCACACUGGUACUGAGACACCGACCAGACUCCUACGGGAGGCAGCAGUGAGGAAUAUUGGGCAAUGGGCGCAAGCCUGAACCAGCCAUGCCGCGUGCAGGAAGAAUGCCCUAUGGGUUGUAAACUGCUUUUAUUUGGGAAUAAACCUCUUUACGUGUAGAGAGCUGAAGGUACCAAAUGAAUAAGCACCGGCUAGCUCCGUGCCAGCCGCCGCAGUAA